UAAAGUCGUAACAAGGUCUCCGUUGGUGAACCAGCGGAGGGAUCAUU
rnacentral:rRNA from 1 species